rnacentral:rRNA from 1 species
GACGAACGCUGGCGGCGUGCUUAACACAUGCAAGUCGAACGGAAAGGCCCUGCUUUUGUGGGGUGCUCGAGUGGCGAACGGGUGAGUAACACGUGAGUAACCUGCCCUUGACUUUGGGAUAACUUCAGGAAACUGGGGCUAAUACCGGAUAGGAGCUCCUGCUGCAUGGUGGGGGUUGGAAAGUUUCGGCGGUUGGGGAUGGACUCGCGGCUUAUCAGCUUGUUGGUGGGGUAGUUGCUUACCAAGGCUUUGACGGGUAGCCGGCCUGAGAGGGUGACCAGCGACAUUGGUACUGAGAUACGGCCCAGACGCCUACGGGAGGCAGCAGUGGGGAAUAUUGCGCAAUGGGCGGAAGCCUGUUGCAGCAACGCCGCGUGCGGAAAGACGGCCUUCGGGUUGUAAACCGCUUUCGCCUGUGACGAAGCGGGAGUGACGGUAAUGGGUAAAAAAGCACCGGCUAACUACGUG